rnacentral:rRNA from 1 species
GACGAACGCUGGCGGCGUGCUUAACACAUGCAAGUCGAACGGAAAGGCCCUGCUUUUGUGGGGUGCUCGAGUGGCGAACGGGUGAGUAACACGUGAGUAACCUGCCCUUGACUUUGGGAUAACUUCAGGAAACUGGGGCUAAUACCGGAUAGGAGCUCCUGCUGCAUGGUGGGGGUUGGAAAGUUUCGGCGGUUGGGGAUGGACUCGCGGCUUAUCAGCUUGUUGGUGGGGUAGUGGCUUACCAAGGCUUUGACGGGUAGCCGGCCUGGGAGGGUGACCGGCCACAUUGGGCCUGAGAUACGGCCCAGACUCCGACGGGAGGCAGCAGUGGGGAAUCUUGCACAAUGGGCGGAAGCCUGAUGCAGCAAUGCCGCGUGCGGGAUGACGGCCUUCGGGUUGUAAACCGCUUUCGCCUGUGACGAAGCGUGAGUGACGGUAAUGGGUAAAGAAGCACCGGCUAACUACGUG